rnacentral:rRNA from 1 species
UCAUCUUCGGGGGUAGAGCACUGUUUCGGCUAGGGGGUCAUCCCGACUUACCAACCCGAUGCAAACUGCGAAUACCGAAGAAUGUUAUCACGGGAGACACACGGCGGGUGCUAACGUCCGUCGUGAAGAGGGAAACAACCCAGACCGCCAGCUAAGGUCCCAAAGUCAUGGUUAAGUGGGAAACGAUGUGGGAAGGCACAGACAGCCAGGAUGUUGGCUUAGAAGCAGCCAUCAUUUAAAGAAAGCGUAAUAGCUCACUGGUCGAGUCGGCCUGCGCGGAAGAUGUAACGGGGCUAAACCAUGCACCGAAGCUGCGGCAGCGACACUAUGUGUUGUUGGGUAGGGGAGCGUUCUGUAAGCCGUUGAAGGUGUAUCGUGAGGUAUGCUGGAGGUAUCAGAAGUGCGAAUGCUGACAUAAGUAACGAUAAUGCGGGUGAAAAACCCGCACGCCGGAAGACCAAGGGUUCCUGUCCAACGUUAAUCGGGGCAGGGUGAGUCGACCCCUAAGGCGAGGCCGAAAGGCGUAGUCGAUGGGAAACAGGUUAAUAUUCCUGUACUUGGUGUUACUGCGAAGGGGGGACGGAGAAGGCUAUGUUAGCCGGGCGACGGUUGUCCCGGUUUAAGCAUGUAGGCGGAGGUUCCAGGUAAAUCCGGUACCUUUUUAACGCUGAGGUGUGAUGACGAGGCACUACGGUGCUGAAGUAACAAAUGCCCUGCUUCCAGGAAAAGCCUCUAAGCAUCAGGUAACACGAAAUCGUACCCCAAACCGACACAGGUGGUCAGGUAGAGAAUACCAAGGCGCUUGAGAGAACUCGGGUGAAGGAACUAGGCAAAAUGGUGCCGUAACUUCGGGAGAAGGCACGCUGAUAUGUAGGUGAAGUGAUUUACUCAUGGAGCUGAAAUCAGUCGAAGAUACCAGCUGGCUGCAACUGUUUAUUAAAAACACAGCACUGUGCAAACACGAAAGUGGACGUAUACGGUGUGACGCCUGCCCGGUGCCGGAAGGUUAAUUGAUGGGGUUAUCCGUAAGGAGAAGCUCUUGAUCGAAGCCCCGGUAAACGGCGGCCGUAACUAUAACGGUCCUAAGGUAGCGAAAUUCCUUGUCGGGUAAGUUCCGACCUGCACGAAUGGCGUAAUGAUGGCCAGGCUGUCUCCACCCGAGACUCAGUGAAAUUGAACUCGCUGUGAAGAUGCAGUGUACCCGCGGCAAGACGGAAAGACCCCGUGAACCUUUACUAUAGCUUGACACUGAACACUGGUCCUUGAUGUGUAGGAUAGGUGGGAGGCUUUGAAGUGUGGACGCCAGUCUGCAUGGAGCCAUCCUUGAAAUACCACCCUUUAAUGGCUGGUGUUCUAACGUGGACCCGUAAUCCGGGUUGCGGACAGUGUCUGGUGGGUAGUUUGACUGGGGCGGUCUCCUCCUAAAGAGUAACGGAGGAGCACGAAGGUUAGCUAAUCCUGGUCGGACAUCAGGAGGUUAGUGCAAAGGCAUAAGCUAGCUUGACUGCGAGAGUGACGGCUCGAGCAGGUGCGAAAGCAGGUCUUAGUGAUCCGGUGGUUCUGAAUGGAAGGGCCAUCGCUCAACGGAUAAAAGGUACUCCGGGGAUAACAGGCUGAUACCGCCCAAGAGUUCAUAUCGACGGCGGUGUUUGGCACCUCGAUGUCGGCUCAUCACAUCCUGGGGCUGAAGUAGGUCCCAAGGGUAUGGCUGUUCGCCAUUUAAAGUGGUACGCGAGCUGGGUUUAGAACGUCGUGAGACAGUUCGGUCCCUAUCUGCCGUGGGCGCUGGAGAAUUGAGGGGGGCUGCUCCUAGUACGAGAGGACCGGAGUGGACGCAUCACUGGUGUUCGGGUUGUCAUGCCAAUGGCAUUGCCCGGUAGCUAAAUGCGGAAGAGAUAAGUGCUGAAAGCAUCUAAGCACGAAACUUGCCCCGAGAUGAGUUCUCCCUGAGACU